ACAGAAUCUGUUCUGGCGGCAACGGGAAAAAGGUAGACAACGACAGAAAAAGAAAAGGGUAGUAACGUAAUUUAAUUAAAAACCAAUCGGUGAUUAGAAGCUAAUCUCUUCUAUAAUACGAGAAGGGUUUCAUAAAAAUCAGAGAGACAAAAAAAAAGUAGUUUUGAGAAUUAAGAAGAACAAAGUCUAUUCGAGACGAAGAAGAGCCUCAAGAAAAUCAUCAUCUCAGGUAAAACUUCAUCAUGAACAAAAGAUCUAUACAAAUUAAUUUACGUUAAUAACCAUUCAUAUACUCGUUGUAAAAAAAUUAUAAACAGGUUAGUUUUUGAUAAUUUAGACGUGAUAAUUGG
rnacentral:lncRNA from 1 species